UGGGGAAUAUUGGACAAUGGGCGAAAGCCUGAUCCAGCCAUGCCGCGUGUGUGAAGAAGGUCUUCGGAUUGUAAAGCACUUUAAGUUGGGAGGAAGGGCAGUAAGCGAAUACCUUGCUGUUUUGACGUUACCGACAGAAUAAGCACCGGCUAACUCUGUGCCAGCAGCCGCGGUAAUACAGAGGGUGCAAGCGUUAAUCGGAAUUACUGGGCGUAAAGCGCGCGUAGGUGGUUCGUUAAGUUGAAUGUGAAAGCCCCGGGCUCAACCUAGGAACUGCAUCCAAGACUGGCGAGCUAGAGUAGGGCAGAGGGUGGUGGAAUUUCCUGUGUAGCGGUGAAAUGCGUAGAUAUAGGAAGGAACACCAGUGGCGAAGGCGACCACCUGGGCUCAUACUGACACUGAGGUGCGAAAGCGUGGGGAGCAAACAGG
rnacentral:rRNA from 1 species